rnacentral:rRNA from 1 species
UACGUAGGGUGCGAGCGUUAAUCGGAAUUACUGGGCGUAAAGCGUGCGUAGGCGGUUCGUUAAGUUCGUUGUGAAAGCCCCGGGCUCAACCUGGGAAUGGCAAUGGAAACUGGCGGGCUGGAGUAUGGCAGAGGGGGGUGGAAUUCCGCGUGUAGCAGUGAAAUGCGUAGAUAUCGGAAGGAACAUCAGUGGCGAAAGCGACUUCCUGGACCAAUACUGACGCUCAUGUGCGAAAGCGUGGGGAGCAAACAGG